CACCUAAAUGUAUAUUACACAGGUACACACGUGUAGGUGUACAUUACACAUGUACACACGUGUAGGUGUACAUUACACAUGUACACAUUUAUAGAUGUACAUUACACAGGUACACACGUGUAGAUGUACAUUACACAGGUACACAGUUAUAGAUGUACAUUACACAGGUACACAUUUAUAGAUGUACAUUAAACAAGUACACAUUUAUAGAUGUACAUUACACAGGUACACAUGUGUAGAUGUAGAGUACACAGGUGUAAAUGCACACAUAUAUGUAUUUGAUGUACAAUAAACAUGUACAGAGUAUUAAUAUAAUAUGUGUUUCAUGUAAAUGUGUACAUGUAUAUUGUAGAGGUACACAUCUGUGUACAAAUUAAUGCGAGUACAGGCACAUAUUACAUUGAACCACUCUUCACAUACUCCAUAUCCACCAUAUCCACAUUGGAGACGAGGAUCCAUGUACUUAAGCAGAAGGCAGGUAACACAGACAAACUUUUGUAUGUACACUGCCGUAACUUGUACGGCAAAAUGCAUAGAAAAUAGUUGAGUAAGAAGCCAUCAGUGAAAAUCUAAAGUAAUGUUAAACUCUCUCUAGUUUUACCUGUAGCUCAGCCCCUCCCUGUAAACACCCCGAAUACAGUAAUAAGACAAACACACAUCCUCUUAUUGGGAACAUUUCUUCACUGAAAGACUGCAGAAGACAUCUAAUAAAGCAUUGUUUGAUCUAGCAGCAUCAAUAAUAAUUAUAUCUUGGUGAUUUAUAUGUAAAUAAAACAAAAACGAAAAAUUGAAAUACACCUGGCAAAUAAAAUGCUUCUAAAUGACCUCAAAGAUUGCCCUUGAUGUUAUUAGAACUACCAACGAAACUGCUUAAAGUGCUUCCUCUGAACUGUCAACACAUUACGACACCAUGCACAUAUUUACAGGUACAUGAAAUACUGUAUCAUCUGAAUACACAGAGAGGAAAUUUGCUUCAAGCCUCUUGGGCCUUUUGGUACGAAAUUUUCAAAAUUUUAGGAAAAAUCAUCAACAUUUCAGCAGAAAAACAUAACGUAUGUACUCUGAAUUUGUAUCACAUGAAAGGGAUGAUGAUAUCAAAAUAAUGUUAGUUUUAUAAUUUUAGUUACAAUUGAUUUUACUGGUAAAGUGUGAGGGAUGAUCAACUGGUACUUCAGUUUUCUCUAUUUCCAACAGAUUUGUUAACAAAGACAUUACUGGCCUAAACACAUACCCUGACAGAGUUUAUGUAUGAAAUAACGACAAAAUGAUGAUAAAAACCCGACUUCAUGAAAUCGACAGUGAGCUAAGCCCGACUUCUCUGACUUGAUUAUGUGGUAAAAUCUCACAUGGACAUUAAACUAUAUGCUGUCAGUUUCACACAAACUGAUGAAAUCCUUAACACGAACAUGCACAAGUAGUAUAUUUAGAAAUGAGUAAGUAUGGCGACUCCCCGUAUGGUCAGAGUAUGGCUGACAAGGUUUCCGUAUGGUGUAGAACAGCGAUGAUUCAACAUAGAAACACACGACAUGGUAUGGGCUAUAUGACAAAAUAAAAGUAGAAAAAACAGGAUGUAUCACAACAACACUAAUAUAUAAAUGCAUAGCUCUUAGACUAAAACUUCAAAAUAAGCAUUACUGACGAGUAGAAAACAGCUGUCCCGUAAGUAGCGAGGUUUGAGCCAGCUAAUGUUGUACAAAAGACACGGUCAUGGCGAUAUAUAUGUAUGUACAAUAAGCUAAGUGUCAUGUGGUUAUUUUGACUGUACAGAUGAAAUACAAAUUUGUGUACACCACAUAAAUAUUCAAUGAAAUAUAUACAGGUAAUACUAGAAUUUAAUGAUUGAUCCACUACUUAUCAGAACUAUGCCAUUUAGGACACUCGCUUCAAGGCCAAGUGGCAUGACACAGAUACCUAGCCCACGGGUCUAUAUGAUUUAACAUAAUAGUUCACAUACAUAUACAAAACGUGAAGUGGGGUUCUGUGUAACGCCCUUUAGCCCCCAGUAACAGCGAAAUGCUGUAGAUAAUUUUGUUACCUUCGAAAUGUGUACAUGUUGACUUACCCAUUGUAAAGGUAAAGCUUUGUCAUUGUACGAAACACAUUGUUAUACUCGUUUACAAUUGUACCGAAACUGUCCGACAGUUCAUGAUUUAAGUGUAGGAUGCUAAUUAUCAAUGCAGCUGUAUGGUGUGGGAGUGAUGCUUAUGGCAUUGCUAGAUUUAUAUAUACAAAAUAUAUAAGAUUACACUCCUAAACAACAGUUUAUCUAAUCAACAAGUUAUAUCAAAUUUCACUAGCAAUAAAUCAAUAUUGCCCCCAACAACAUGUUGUUUACUUACCUAGCAAAUUGUAAUCUUUGUCACAAACAACAUGUUUCUUCAGUAAUAAUUUACAACUGCCCAAACAACAUGUUGUUUAUAUCUUAGCAGAGUGCAAUGUUUGCCACAAACAACAUGUUGUUUCUUCAAUAAUAAUUUACAACUGUCCAAAUAUGUUGUUUUCUUCUCUAUCAAAGCCAAAUCUUUACCACAAACAACGUGUUGUUUCUUCAGUAAUAAUUCAUAACCUCCCAAACAACAUGUUGUCUAAUUUCUCUAGCAUUAUAUUUCACUGUCAUUGCAAACAACAUGUUGUUUUUUCAGCAAUUGUUCAUUACAAUCUCAAAUGUGUGUUGUUUAUGUCUCCAGCAUUAUUUCAUGACCUCCCCAAACAACAAUGAUUGUAAUAUAUUGUUAUCUCAGCAACAAUUCAUGAACAGUAUAUUGCUUGAAAUAUUUUCAGCAAACAAUGUAGCAUAUUUUUACACCUUUACAAGCAAUUCAAAUUGAUAUUUACAAAUCAGCAGACUUUGGUUUUCAUGGCAUUCAUAAAACAUAUAUGUUACUUUUGCUGUCAACGCAAUCAGAUUGGGAAGAUCAUGUUUUCAAAUUUCAAAAAAAUUGAAACAGAUUUCAUAAAAAUGUCAUCGUCAGUGAAAAAACAUGACACCACCAGAAAAUACCAAAACAAAUUACAAACGAAAAUUUUAUGAAAUAAUCUGCAUGUCAACAAAAAUGAGAAUUCUUUGGUUGAAAUUAUGUCAUGGAUAUCAAAGCAACAUUAACGUGACAAAAA